CUCCUUCCAGCCACUAGAGGGCGACGGUUCUCCUUUCGCCGGGCUGCAAGCGGCUGCUGCAAGCUGGCUUGGCCAGACCAUUCCCCCCAGCAUCAGCACCAGAGCAUCCUUCAUCCCUGGUCCCCUCUUGUCCUCCUCCUGCUCCUCUUCCUUUGCCAGGCCAGGUGGUGCACUGGUCGGAUGGAUGGCUGCUCGCUACUUCCUGGGAGGAACCAUGAAGCAAAUUUGCUUCUGCGCCGCCUCCUCCUUCACGAGUCAGGACUGGAGCAAGAAUGACGAGAAGCUCCUCCAGGCUGUGGAGUACAAUGAUGCGGAUCGUGUCUCCUCUCUGCUGCUCAGGAAGGGCUUGGUCCCCACCAAACUGGACUCCGAGGGAAAAUCUGCAUUCCACCUGGCGGCCAUGAGAGGAAACGUGGAUUGCCUAGAAGUGAUGCUAGCCCAUGGGGCAGAUGCCAUGACCACCGACGGCUCAGGUUAUGCAGCACUGCACCUGUCAGCUAAACAUGGCCAUCCUCAGUGUGUGAGCAAGCUGUUGCAGGCAUCCUGCCCCGUGGAUAUGGCAGACGGCAGUGGAAGAACGGCGCUUCACCAUGCAGCUAUCAACGGAUGCAUCUCUUGCUUGGAGAUCCUUUGUGAUUUUAAGGCUCCCCUGAACACCAAGGAUCAGGACGGGGCGACCCCUCUGAUGCUCGCGGCCAAGAUGAGCCACUCGGAGCUUUGCCACUACCUGCUGCACCGCGGAGCUGCUGUCAACGCCAGAGACCAGCGGGGCCGAACAGCCCUGAUGGUGGCGUGUGAGAACAGCAGUGUGGAAACAGUGGAGGUUCUCAUCCAUGGUGGGGCACGCGUGGGCCUCAUCGACGCCACAGGACAUGAUGCCGCACACUACGGUGCAGCCACCGGCAAUGCCCUCAUUCAGCACUACCUGCAGGAGGCCGCCCAGCGUCGAUCUUGGGCCAGUGAAGAGGAAUCCGCUGAAUUAUCCUCACAGUCUUCCCAGCAAUCCCUCUCCAAAGGGAAAAACAGCAGCCCGAGAAAGAGAAAGGCCCCACCGCCACCUCAGAGCACUCCCAACCAGCAUGCUUCCCACCCAACAGACCAGGGCUCGUUUCCUGCAGAACGGAGCAACCCAGUGGUCACUGCCAAGCCGGCCAAGGGCCCCCCUGUGCCAGCUGACAUGAAUGACCGGGAGGCCUACGAGGAAAUUGUCCGGCUCCGGCAGGAGAGAGCCCAGCUUCUGCAGAGGAUCCGGAGCCUAGAGCAGCAGCAGAAGAAGCAGAGGCAAGAGAGACUGGAGCUGGAGGAUGACUCCGUGCAUACUCUGGAAAGACAGAUAGAAGACCUUCAGAAGCAAUUGGCAGAGAAAGCUGGCGAAAAGGAAAAUAUGGGGAAGGAACUGGAAGUAUUACGGAGCCGUCUGUCAUCUCUGGAGAAUGAGAAGGAAAACACCAGCUAUGACAUUGAAACGCUGCAGGACGAAGAGGGGGACCUGCUGGAGUUUCCAGGGGCUGAGUUGCUGCUGUCCAAAAAGAGCUUGAGCCUCUCUGCCGAGGAGCUGCUGGCCACCCUCCAGGGCCAAGUACAGUCUCUAACCCAGAAGAACCAAGAGCUGAUGGAGAAAAUACAGGUCCUGGAGAAGGACGAGAGCGAUGCUGAUGCCUCUGGCGACUUCAUCCCCAUCAUCCUGUAUGACUCACUCAGGUCCGAGUUCGACAGGCUGAAGGAGCAGUACGCCAAGGCGCAAGUGACCCUGAAGGCCCUCGAAGAGGCCGGGGGUGAGAACGCCUCCUGCAAGCUCGUCCCAGCCGAGGCUUACGAGCAGCUGAAGGCGGAGUACGAGGAGCAGAUCGGAGCCCUGAGAGAAGCCCUGGAGAAGAGCAGCUCCCUUGCUGACCUUUGCGGCAGAGAACAAGAGACGGGCACCUCUGGCUUGGGGAUGGAAGAGGAGGCAGAGCUGCUGGCCCAAGAGCUCAGCGAGACCCAGGAGAAAUACCAGGCCGCUCUGGCUGAGGUGAAGCUCCUUCAAGAGCAGAUUGAGCUCAGCAUCCUCUCUGUGGAGGAGAAAGUGAUCGUGGAGAGCUCCCGAGCGGAACUGGAGACGGUGAAGGCCGCUCUGCAGCAAGCCCAAGAGGACCUCAAGGAGCGAGAGCAGGAGGUGAGGGACCUGGAGGAACGGCUGGAGGCCCAGGAAGUGGCCGCAGCCGCUGCGGGAGCUACGCAGGGCUGCUCUGCUGAGGCGUAUGAGGAGAUGAAGGCCUCCCUGGGCUCCUCCUUGGAUGAGGCCUGUAGGGAGAAGGAGGCCCUGCUGGCGAGAUGCGCCUCUGCUGAGGCAGAAGUGAAGGAGCUGAGAGAAUCCUUGGAGGAGAAGAGCCGUGAGUUAGAAAAGAGCCAAGGAAGCCUGUCAGAGAGCCAGAGGCUCCAAGAGGAGGCCGAGAAGCUAAGGAAGCAGCUGGGGGCUGUAACAAGGCAGUACGAGGACGUGAAGGCCCAGGUGGAACAGCUCCAAGGAGAACGCAAGAAGCUGGAGAAGGAGCUGCAUGAAGCCAAGGAGAAGGUGGCCUCCCAAUAUGUCUCCAAGCAAGAGCACAAAGAGUCGAUGGGGAAGCUGAGCGCCUCCCUUUCUGAUGCUGAAAGGAGGCUGUCGGAGCUGAAGGAGAAGCACAGCACCACCCAGAAGGAGCUGGCGGACCUGCGGAAGUCGGCCGAAGGCUACAGACAAGAUUCGGUGCCCCUGGCCGAGCAUGCCCGUGCCAAGGAGAUCCUGGAAGGCAGCGUGUGGGAGCUGAAGGCCAAGGCCAACCUGGCGGAGCAGGAGCUGAGGGCCAAGACCCAGGAGGCCUCGCGCCUGCAGGCCGAGCUGGAUGCCAUCCGGCAGGGCUCUGUUUCCAAGGAGGAGCAUAAGCAGCUGCAGCUGAGCCUGCAGGGCGAAGUGGACGGGCUGAAUGCCAAGCUGAGCGACCUGGGGCGCAAGCAUGAGCGCACCUGCACUGAGGUCUUCCAGGUGCAGCGGGAAGCCCUCUUCAUGAAGAGCGAGAAGCACGCAGCCGAAGCACAGCUGGCAACGGCACAGAAGCAGCUGCAGAGCCUGCAGGCCGAGUCAGCCCGGAUCCAGGAGCUGCACAGCCACAUUGAGGACUCGGCCAAGCUGGUCAAAGAGAAGGACAAGAAGAUCACAGAACUUUCCAAGGAAGUUUUCAAGUUGAAAGAAGCCCUGAAUGACCUGUCGGAGCUCUCUGGCCAGGCAGGGGCUUUGCCCAAGGCAGCCUCCCCACAGAAGACGGAGAACAGGCAGGAGGUGGCCGCCCUCCAGGGCAAAAUCAAAGACCUGGAGCAGCAAUUGGUGGAGACUGAGCGACGCCACACGAAUGUGGUUUCUUUGUACAGGGGGCACCUCCUCUAUGCCAUCCAGUACCUCUCCGGAUGCGGCUUUUGGUGGGGGGGGGGAAGUCAAUCUCCUCCCCCGGGUUCUUAAAGGCAGCAGUUUGGAAAGAAGGAAGGGGCGGGACAGCCCAGUGGAGCAGACCCGGCGCCAGAUUUCCGGGAGGCUGGAAGGGCCACAUGGACGAGGACAUCCAGAGGAUUCUGUUCCAGAUUCUGAAGAUGCAAAGGCUGCAGGAGCAAGGGAGAUGAGCGUGCGGAGGACAGACUGUGCAUUUUGGCAGGGGUUGGGUGGGUGGAAGGUGGAGCUAUUCCUUAUGGCAAAUUAUCCAGACUUUCUGGACCUCUUGGCCCUCACACCAGCCAGCCCGCCAGCCUCAAGUGUGUCAUGGGUUCUUCUCACCUGAUUCCCUCCAUAACACAGGCCUCCUCGCCUCUUUUGAGAUAAUUGUGCAUCUUCUGCCCAGGAUGGAGUCUCCAUUGUUCCACCAUUCCAAUCACCUUCGUUUUUCUGCCCUCGGACAGUAUUUGCCACAGAAGUGGUGGUCAGUCUUGAGUCCCCUGCCUUUUAACAGCUGCACAGAAGACAAAAAUUCACAUGGUGCAACUGUUUCCAAUAAUGGUACCUCCAUGCUUGGUAAAGCUGUAUCUGUUGAAUUUCUGCCUGCCUCGACAGUGUUAAAAGCACAGACGCAUUAUUAGUGGGGGACAGGAGGAGGAGGCAAACUUUGAUAGAAGGGUGCUUGUGCAGAUUAGUCCCCAUAGGGGGAGUUGUGGUUCACUCCCUGCCCUGAGGAUCCAGUGAGGUGAUGUGAUCAGAGAGUCAGGCUAUGACUAAGGAGAGCUGGGUUCAAAUCCUCCCCCUGCCACAAAGCUCACCUUGGCCAGUCAUUGCCGCCUAGCCUACCUUUCAGGGUUUAUUUUAUUAUUUAUUUAACAUAUCUUUCUACCGCCCAAAACGCAAGUUCUCUGGGAGGUUUACAAGACAAUAAAAACUAAUAAAAAGAUUAAAACAUUUCAACAAUUAAGAUUUAAAAAGUUAAAACUAUUAACACAAUUAACACAGUAUCGAAUUAAAAGCCUGGGUGAACAAAUGCAUCUUGACUGCCCUUUUAAAAGUUGUAAGAGAUGGGGAGGCUCUUGUUUCAGCAGGAAGUGUGUUCCAAAGCCUCGGGGCAGCAAUGGAGAAGGCCUGUCCCUGAGUAGCCACCAGACGAGCCGGUGGCAACUGCAGACAAACCUCUCCUGAUGAUCUCAAUGGGCGGUGUGGUUCAUAGCAAAGAGGACGUUCUCUUAAAUACCCAGGGCCCAAGCUGUUUAGGGUUGUCGUGGGGAUUACCGUGUGUGCCACUCUGUGAGCUCUUUGGAUAUAGGAUUACACAAAAUUGAAUAAAGAAACAAUAUGAAUGUUGACUGUGAGGGGAGACACUCAAAAUGGAGGCAGGCUUUCCUCAUGACUGUUUGUAGGCAUGAUUUCACAGGAGUGCUGAAACUUCACCAGAGGUGAUCUGGGAGGCAAAAUCCAACUCCCUGAGAACCUCAGCUUCCAUUUAAAAAUGAAGAGCAAGGUUGUAACUCUGACGGAUGUGCAGGUUUGUGGGCCAGAGUCAUGAAGGGGGACAGACAGAGAUUUCCAGGGGAUAGGAAGUGGCAAUGGUAUUGCGUAGUUCCUCCUCCUCUCCAAUAGCAGAUAGUGGCUGACAUGAUAUGCAGCCUGCUGCCUCCACAAGGAUCCGCUAUGAGACUCUCACAGACUUCAAAAGGAAGCUCCCAGUGCUGCCCUGAGGCACCAAUUAUGGAAGCUGCCCAAAUGUCUCAAAUGGGGAAACCUGCAGAAAUACAGAUUCCACAAUCGCUGCCUCAGGACAGCAUCAGAGCUUCCUUUGAAAUCUGCAGGCGCUCCACAGCGGAUCCUUACAGAGAGGCUGUGAAUCAUGUCAGCCCCUGAAAGUAAUCAUUUGUCAGAUUCAUCAAGGAAUGUUCGAUUUCUGGUCAGACUGGAUCUGACAGUUUUGGGGGCCCUGUCAGUCCUGUCACAUCUUAUGGGAUUGGAUCUGACCAUUCUCAGCGUGCCCAGACCGAAUACGUAGUUUGCCUGUGCUAGAACUUUUCUUGCUAAAUUACUAUGUGUCAGCCUGCUGCAGUUAAUGGCUCAAGGGUAGGGCCAAUGGAAAAAAUCAGCAUUUUAAUUUUUUUUUUUUUUGCAUUAAAAAAACCCCUUUCUGUUCUAAUUCAAGAAUAUUUGGAUGUCCAUACCUGGUGCAAGGUAUAGGUUGUGGCAGGGAAAGAAGGCUGCAGGUUCAUUGUUAUUCUUACAGUGCAGAGGCAGAAGGAUACAGAGGGAAAUUCACCUUGUUGCUGUCUGUCUCUCUUCUCAUGGUCCACAGCAAUAAAGUCUUGGUGCUCACA